rnacentral:lncRNA from 1 species
UUAACCCCUUCGAGCUUAAACAGUUGAAUCUCGGCUUGAAAUAAAGCGAGAUGUCAAAAAUCUUUUUUCUUGAAACCCGGAAAAUUUUGAUAAUUGUUCUUUUGCCGUAAAAGUCAAGAGCAUUCACUUAGGGUGAGUAAAAGAAAUAAGUUGGGGAGAACGAAAAUGAGAAUCGGUAAGUGCCACAACUCUUGAAAAACCGAGCAAGCAUUGAAAAAAAAAAAUAUAAAAUAUAGAAAAGAGAAACAUCUGUUUUGUAAAUAUGAUGUGAAAGAAAAGAAAAAAUAGAGAAAAUGAAAAUGAAUGCUUGCUUGGAAGAAAAAUAGUGAAAAACAAAAAUUGAGUUGUGAAAUAAGAGUUGUGAAGGUUUCAAAUGAGAAACAAAUGGAACGAAGUUGAGAUGUGUGAAUAAUGUACAGUGAAUGUCUCUUUUGCAUCGGCAAUUUCGUUUUCAAUGGCCUUAGAAAUGACCCUUGUUUGUAAACCUAACCAAGCUACAAC